rnacentral:rRNA from 1 species
GACGAACGCUGGCGGCGUGCUUAACACAUGCAAGUCGAACGGGAUCCAAGGGCUUUUUGUUUUUGGUGAGAGUGGCGAACGGGUGAGUAACACGUGAGUAACCUGCCCCCUUCUUUUGGAUAACCGCAUGAAAGUGUGGCUAAUACAGGAUAGUCCAGGCUGGUCGCAUGAUUGGUUUGGGAAAUGGUUUGGUCUGGUGGGGGAUGGGCUCGCGGCCUAUCAGCUUGUUGGUGGGGUGAUGGCCUACCAAGGCGGUGACGGGUAGCCGGCCUGAGAGGGUGGGCGGUCACACUGGGACUGAGAUACGGCCCAGACUCCUACGGGAGGCAGCAGUGGGGGAUUUUGCACAAUGGGCGCAAGCCUGAUGCAGCGACGCCGCGUGAGGGAUGGAGGCCUUCGGGUUGUGAACCUCUUUCGCUGGGUUGAAAGGCCAUGCUUUGGGUGUGGUUGAUUUGAACUGGUAAAGAAGUACCGGCUAACUACGUGCCAGCAGCCGCGGUAAUACGUAGGGUACUAGCGUUGUCCGGAUUUAUU